UAAAGUAUAUUUAUCAACUAAUUGUAAAGAUUUUAUUUGAAAUUCGACAAAUAUGCCAAAAUACAUUAAACGAAAGUGUCAAUCAAGGCAAGAAUAACAAAAGAAGUAAAAUAAGCAAAAACUUUGUUGUAAUUGCCCUUUGCUUUAUGUUGUUGUUUUUUUUUUCUUAAAUUCUACCGCUAAAAGUUUACAUUCCUUUUGUUUUUUCAUUCUUAAUUUGGCUAUUAGAUAUUGUGUUGCAUCGGUCAUUGUUUAAUAUUAAUUAAUUGGUUUUGUGAAAAAGACAAUUUGUGGUGUGAUAAAAGUUUAUUAAUAAUUUAGUGUAGUGAUAAGUUAAUAACAUAAAUAUAAGAUAAUCGUCCAAUUAAUUCUGUAUCGCAAAAUGUGAAUGUUUUCUUCAAUAAAUUGAACAUUCUUAAAAGUGAAAAUUUAUUAAAUUUGCAAAAUGGUGGCGACUGGCAAUUUGGUUUACCUCAAUUCAAUUCAUCAAUGCAAAGGAAAAGCUCUUGCAUUUGAAUGAUUCUGCUGGCGUUUCUUUUUAUCAAGCUGUUUGUGGAAUAUUGGCAUACCAUACCAUUUUAUACUGCUUAUUAAAUUGAUUGCCAUGUUAUGAGGCUCUAAUCAGCUCAAAUCAG